ACCUCAAAUCGGGUGAGACUACCCGCUGAACUUAAGCAUAUCAAUUAAGCGGAAGGAA
rnacentral:rRNA from 1 species